GUGCUCGCUUCAGCAGCACAUAUACUAAGAUUGGAACGGCACUAGGUAGAUCAGCAUGGCCCUGCACGGGGACCACAUGCACAUUUGUGAAGCGUUGCAUAUUUUU
rnacentral:snRNA from 1 species